AAUAGAUACCCAGGUAGUCCACGCCGUAAACGAUGAAUACUAGGUGUAGGGGUUGUCAUGACCUCUGUGCCGCCGCAAACGCAUUAAGUAUUCCGCCUGGGGAGUACGGUCGCAAGAUUAAAACUCAAAGGAAUUGACGGGGGCCCGCACAAGCAGCGGAGCAUGUGGUUUAAUUCGAAGCAACGCGAAGAACCUUACCUAGACUUGACAUCUCCUGAAUUACUCUGUAAUGGAGGAAGCCCUUCGGGGCAGGAAGACAGGUGGUGCAUGGUUGUCGUCAGCUCGUGUCGUGAGAUGUUGGGUUAAGUCCCGCAACGAGCGCAACCCUUAUUGUUAGUUGCUACCAUUAAGUUGAGCACUCUAGCGAGACUGCCCGGGUUAACCGGGAGGAAGGUGGGGAUGACGGUCAAAUCAUCAUGCCCCUUAUGUCUAGGGCUAUACACGUGCUACAAUGGCUGGUACAGAGAGAUGCUAAACCGCGAGGUGGAGCUAAACUUUAAAACCAGUCUCAGUUCGGAUUGUAGGCUGAAACUCGCCUAC
rnacentral:rRNA from 1 species